AUUGAACGCUGGCGGCAUGCUUUACACAUGCAAGUCGAACGGUAACAGGCCGCAAGGUGCUGACGAGUGGCGAACGGGUGAGUAAUGCAUCGGAACGUGCCCAGUCGUGGGGGAUAACGCAGCGAAAAUUGCGCUAAUACCGCAUACGAUCUAUGGAUGAAAGCGGGGGACCGUAAGGCCUCGCGCGAUUGGAGCGGCCGAUGUCAGAUUAGGUAGUUGGUGGGGUAAAGGCUCACCAAGCCGACGAUCUGUAGCUGGUCUGAGAGGACGACCGGCCACACUGGGACUGGGACACGGCCCAGACUCCUACGGGAGGCAGCAAUGGGGAAUUUUGGACAAUGGGCGCAAGCCUGAUCCAGCAAUGCCGCGUGCAGGAAGAAGGCCUUCGGGUUGUAAACUGCUUUUGUACGGAACGAAACGGUCCUGGUUAAUACCCGGGGCUAAUGACGGUACCGUAAGAAUAAGCACCGGCUAACUACGUGCCAGCAGCCGCGGUAAGAC
rnacentral:rRNA from 1 species